rnacentral:rRNA from 1 species
UACGAAGGGGGCUAGCGUUGCUCGGAAUUACUGGGCGUAAAGCGCACGUAGGCGGAUUCUUAAGUCGGUGGUGAAAUCCUGGAGCUCAACUCCAGAACUGCCUUCGAUACUAGGAAUCUUGAGUUCGGGAGAGGUGAGUGGAACUGCGAGUGUAGAGGUGAAAUUCGUAGAUAUUCGCAAGAACACCAGUGGCGAAGGCGGCUCACUGGCCCGAUACUGACGCUGAGGUGCGAAAGCGUGGGGAGCAAACAGG